CGAGCGCACUCUUCGGAGUGAGCGGCGGACGGGUUAGUAACGCGUGGGAACGUGCCCUUCUCUAAGGAAUAGCCACUGGAAACGGUGAGUAAUACCUUAUACGCCCUUCGGGGGAAAGAUUUAUCGGAGAAGGAUCGGCCCGCGUUAGAUUAGAUAGUUGGUGGGGUAACGGCCUACCAAGUCUACGAUCUAUAGCUGGUUUUAGAGGAUGAUCAGCAACACUGGGACUGAGACACGGCCCAG
rnacentral:rRNA from 1 species